rnacentral:tRNA from 1 species
GGAGGGAUGUCCGAGUGGCUUAAGGAGCACGAUUGGAAAUCGUGUGUGCCGUUUAGAGCGGUACCUAGGGUUCAAAUCCCUAUCCCUCCGCCA